rnacentral:rRNA from 1 species
UACAGAGGUCCCAAGCGUUGUUCGGAUUCACUGGGCGUAAAGGGUGCGUAGGUGGUGAGGUAAGUCGGAUGUGAAAUCUCCGAGCUCAACUCGGAAAUGGCAUUGGAAACUACCUUGCUCGAGGGUUGGAGGGGGGACUGGAAUGCUUGGUGUAGCAGUGAAAUGCGUAGAUAUCAAGCGGAACACCAGUGGCGGAGGCGAGUCCCUGGACAACUCCUGACACUGAGACACGAAAGCUAGGGGAGCAAACAGG